rnacentral:tRNA from 1 species
GCGCUGGUAGUGUAAUGGCGGAGCGUUCCCUCCCGGUACACAGGAGGUGUGGGUUCGAAUCCCACCUUGUGCA